rnacentral:rRNA from 1 species
CCUACGGGAGGCAGCAGUGAGGAAUAUUGGUCAAUGGGCGAGAGCCUGAACCAGCCAAGUCGCGUGAGGGAGUACUGCCCUAUGGGUUGUAAACCUCUUUUGUCGGGGAGCAAAAGCCGGACGUGUCCGGCUGUGAGAGUACCCGAAGAAAAAGCAUCGGCUAACUCCGGGCCAGCAGCCGCGGUAAUACGGAGGAUGCGAGCGUUAUCCGGAUUUAUUGGGUUUAAAGGGGGCGCAGGCGGAUUUUUAAGUCAGCGGUAAAAUCGUGGGGCUCAACCCCAUCCAGCCGUUGAAACUGGGGAUCUAGAGUGUGCGAGAGGUAUGCGGAAUGUGUGGUGUAGCGGUGAAAUGCAUAGAUAUCACGCAGAACCCCGAUUGCGAAGGCAGCAUACCGGUGCACAACUGACGCUCAGGCACGAAAGCGUGGGUAUCGAACAGGAUUAGAUACCCUGGUAGUC